UAAUUAUUUCUUUUAAAUUCUUAUUAAAUUUAAAAUAUAUUAAUAAAAUUUAAAUUAAAAAAACGAUAAAAAAAAAAAUCUCACCUGCAUGGGAUUAUUUAUCCCACCCUGCUGGAUGGGAUAAAUAAUCCCAGACAGAUGAGGUUAACUGGAUUAGUUAUCCAGACUUCUAACAUGCCCAAACACUGGAUUGGACAAAUUAACAUGUCUAAUCCAAUCCAGUCCUGCGUACCAAACGGGCCCUUUAAGUUUUAUGUCGGAUAGCAGAUAAAUACUUAAGUCGUAUUUUUGGCGGUAAAAAUAUAUUUUGUCACACUCUUCGAACUCCGUAAGUACUUCUUUAUUUUCUUCCAGGUAAGUGUCCAUGUGUCACCCUUUUAUUAGUCCACAUUAUUUAAAUUCUAUCUCUUAUUUAAAAAUUCAUUUAAGCAUUUUAAAAUUAAAAAAAAAAUACAUAAUAAAAUUAAUAAAAUAUCUCAUAAAAUUAAAAAAUUAUUUUUUCCCUAUUCUCUUCUCAAUCUCAUCCACGAGUUUCUUCUCUCUCUUCUCUUCUUCUUCUUCUUCUUCAUCAUCAAUCCCUCUGUAAAAUUUAUCAUCCCUCUGGUUUUCUUUUUCUAUUACCAUCAAUCUCAUUCUCAAUCCCUCUAUUGCAAAUUAUAACUUUGUUUUUCUAUCUAUUAGUAAAAUUAAAAACCCAAAAUCAUAACUCCACCAUACCUGCACACAUUAACUUGUAAGAAGCUUUUCGACAAUCAAAAACGAAAGUUAUACAAAUGAUUAGAGAAAUACACCAUUAACGAUUGAGGAUUGGGCAGAUUGAGGUUGUUGAAUCGGAUGCGUUCUCUCGGCAAACAGGAAUGGAAGAGAAGAUCGAAUGAAAGAGAUAGAUCUGGUGGGAAAGUAAUUUGGAGAUGUGCAACUCUGAGAAUCGAUAUCUGUAUAUUUUGUUUCAUUCUUUGAUAUUAUAAUAUGUGUUGUGUAUAUGUUAGGGAAAACCAUUUCAAUAUGUACAAAUCUAAGUUUGUGGAACAAGAACAUGAAACAACCUAUUAAUUUUUUGGAUUUUUUU